GAUGGGAGCUUGCUCCCUGAUGUUAGCGGCGGACGGGUGAGUAACACGUGGGUAACCUGCCUGUAAGACUGGGAUAACUCCGGGAAACCGGGGCUAAUACCGGAUGCUUGUUUGAACCGCAUGGUUCAAACAUAAAAGGUGGCUUCGGCUACCACUUACAGAUGGACCCGCGGCGCAUUAGCUAGUUGGUGAGGUAACGGCUCACCAAGGCAACGAUGCGUAGCCGACCUGAGAGGGUGAUCGGCCACACUGGGACUGAGACACGGCCCAGACUCCUACGGGAGGCAGCAGUAGGGAAUCUUCCGCAAUGGACGAAAGUCUGACGGAGCAACGCCGCGUGAGUGAUGAAGGUUUUCGGAUCGUAAAGCUCUGUUGUUAGGGAAGAACAAGUACCGUUCGAAUAGGGCGGUACCUUGACGGUACCUAACCAGAAAGCCACGGCUAACUACGUGCCAGCAGCCGCGGUAAUACGUAGGUGGCAAGCGUUGUCCGGAAUUAUUGGGCGUAAAGGGCUCGCAGGCGGUUUCUUAAGUCUGAUGUGAAAGCCCCCGGCUCAACCGGGGAGGGUCAUUGGAAACUGGGGAACUUGAGUGCAGAAGAGGAGAGUGGAAUUCCACGUGUAGCGGUGAAAUGCGUAGAGAUGUGGAGGAACACCAGUGGCGAAGGCGACUCUCUGGUCUGUAACUGACGCUGAGGAGCGAAAGCGUGGGGAGCGAACAGGAUUAGAUACCCUGGUAGUCCACGCCGUAAACGAUGAGUGCUAAGUGUUAGGGGGUUUCCGCCCCUUAGUGCUGCAGCUAACGCA
rnacentral:rRNA from 1 species